GACGAACGCUGGCGGCAGGCUUAACACAUGCAAGUCGAGCGGGGUGAUGGUGCGUGCACUAUCACUUAGCGGCGGACGGGUGAGUAAUGCUUAGGAAUCUGCCUAUUAGUGGGGGACAACAUCUCGAAAGGGAUGCUAAUACCGCAUACGUCCUACGGGAGAAAGCAGGGGAUCACUUGUGACCUUGCGCUGAUAGAUGAGCCUAAGUCGGAUUAGCUAGUUGGUGGGGUAAAGGCCUACCAAGGCGACGAUCUGUAGCGGGUCUGAGAGGAUGAUCCGCCACACUGGGACUGAGACACGGCCCAGACUCCUACGGGAGGCAGCAGUGGGGAAUAUUGGACAAUGGGGGGAACCCUGAUCCAGCCAUGCCGCGUGUGUGAAGAAGGCCUUAUGGUUGUAAAGCACUUUAAGCGAGGAGGAGGCUCUUUUGGUUAAUACCCAAGAUGAGUGGACGUUACUCGCAGAAUAAGCACCGGCUAACUCUGUGCCAGCCGCCGCCGUAA
rnacentral:rRNA from 1 species